rnacentral:rRNA from 1 species
CCUACGGGUGGCUGCAGUGAGGCAUAUUGGUCAAUGGACGAGAGUCUGAACCAGCCAAGUAGCGUGAAGGAUGACUGCCCUAUGGGUUGUAAACUUCUUUUAUAUGGGAAUAAAAUGUUCCACGUGUGGGAUUUUGUAUGUACCAUAUGCAUAAGGAUCGGCUAACUCCGUGCCGGCAGCCGCGGUAAUACGGAGGAUCCGAGCGUUAUCCGGAUUUAUUGGGUUUAAAGGGAGCGUAGGUGGAUUGUUAAGUCAGGUGUGAAAGUUUGCGGCUCAACCGUAAAAUUGCAGUUGAAACUGACAGUCUUGAGUACAGUAGAGGUGGGCGGAAGUCGUGGUGGAGCGGUGAAAUGCUUAGAUAUCACGAAGAACUUCGAUUGCGAAGGCAGUUCACUGGACUGAAACUGACACUGAGGCUCGAAAGUGUGGGUAUCAAACAGGAUUAGAUACCCCUGUAGUC